rnacentral:rRNA from 1 species
AAAAACAUAGCCAUAUGAAGAUAUUUAUGGUUUAACCUGCCCAAUGUAAAAUUAUUAAUGGCCGCGGUACCCUGACCGUGCUAAGGUAGCGUAAUCAGUUGGCUUUUAAAUGGAGUCAGGUAUGAAUGGGAUAACUGGGUUUAGCUGUCUCAAAUAUAUUUUAUUGAAUUUACUGUUCAAGUGAAAAAGCUUGAUCUUAAAAAAAAGACGAGAAGACCCUUAGAAUUUUUUUUAAAGCAGGAUUGUUUUUGUUAUGAUUUUGUUGGGGCGACAAAGAAAUAAUAACAACUUUCUUUAAUUUAUUAGCCGGAAAUUUCAAGUUAAAAUAAAUUACCUAAGGGAUAACAGCAUAAUUCUAUAAAUGAGUUUGUGACCUCGAUGUUGGACUAGGAAGCUGACAGGUUAGCUGCUUGUCGUGGGGAUUCUGUUCGAAUUUUAACUCCU